rnacentral:lncRNA from 1 species
ACUUGGGCAGGGCACCCCGAGCUCCCCGACCCUGCAGCUCGUAGCAAACACGCUGCUGCAUUCACUGCCAUCGGAGCCUCCACGCUCACCCCCACAUUUACUCCUCCUGGGCGGGGUCUCCCCGCGGCACCCAACAGGCACCCAAGAGCGCGCCUCGCCGCUCGCUCGCUCGGGGCGGGCACCCGCAGGCCGCAGGUGUCAGGGCCAGGUCUCCCCGGAGCCACCCCACUGCGCGGGUCCUGCGCCCCCUCCACGCGGGCGGGCGGGCGGGGGAGGGGGGCUUGCAGGCCCAGGUCUCCCGCGCUCGGCCGCGCGCCCGGCGCCCCUUCGCUGCACGUGGCGGAGGCGGGGGGCGGGGGGUCCGCCCGGGGGCGCCCGCAGCUCCGCGCCGCCCACUUCCAGGCGACCACGCGCACCGGGAGCGGGGCGGCCGGUCUCGGGGCGCCGAGGGGCUGCGGGGGAGUCGGGCGGCGCAGUCCCGCGGGAGGGGGGUGGGGGGGCAGAGGCGCCUCCCGCGGGGGUCCUAACUCCGUAGCCCUUCCCGCCGCGGGCACAGACCUCCCUCCCGGGCAGGGCAGAAGCACGCGGCGGGGAAAGGCGGCGUCCUCGGAGGUCCCGCCGGGAGCCCCGGGGCGGGUCCGCGCAGGGGGGCGGGCGGCGGGCGGCGGGGGUACUCACCCCGCGGCGGGGUCCCGGGCGGCGGGCGCGGGCGGCGGGGCCCCGGGUCCCGGGUCCCGGGCGGCGGGUGCGGGCGGCGGGCGCCCGUGGACGUGCAGGGCCGGCCCCGCGCCGGGCUAUGAAUCAGCUGCGGGGCGAGCGCCGAGGGGCGGGAGUUACGGGAAAACCGCGGGGGAGGGCAGAGGGCUGAGGACUUUUGCAAUUUCCCGUCCUGCUGCGCACUCUUGGCGCUCCCGGGACCCACAGGAAUUCUCCCCUCCGGGUCCCGGGGGAAGCGGCCGGGACCCCGCGGGAGGCCCGGGCGGGGGCGAGGAGGCGGGGGAGGCCUGGGGAGGGCGAGCGGCCCUCGGCGGCCCGGGCCGGUGA